CCUACGGGCGGCGGCAGUGGGGAAUAUUGGACAAUGGGGGGAACCCUGAUCCAGCCAUGCCGCGUGUGUGAAGAAGGCCCUCGGGUUGUAAAGCACUUUCAGUGAGGAAGAACGCCUGGUGGUUAAUACCCAUCAGGAAAGACAUCACUCACAGAAGAAGCACCGGCUAACACCGUGCCAGCAGCCGCGGUAAUACGGAGGGUGCGAGCGUUAAUCGGAAUUACUGGGCGUAAAGCGCGCGUAGGUGGCUUGAUAAGCCGGUUGUGAAAGCCCCGGGCUCAACCUGGGAACGGCAUCCGGAACUGUCAAGCUAGAGUGCAGGAGAGGAAGGUAGAAUUCCCGGUGUAGCGGUGAAAUGCGUAGAGAUCGGGAGGAAUACCAGUGGCGAAGGCGGCCUUCUGGACUGACACUGACACUGAGGUGCGAAAGCGUGGGUAGCAAACAGGAUUAGAUACCCCUGUAGUC
rnacentral:rRNA from 1 species